GCCAAUGUAGCUCAGUUGGUAGAGCAGUUCAUUCGUAAUGAACAGGUCAUCGGUUCGAUCCCGAUCAUUGGCU
rnacentral:tRNA from 1 species